AACUCUCAAGUCCCUCAACAACCA
rnacentral:siRNA from 1 species